AGCCAAGAGGGAGGGAACGGGUCGGGGAAUGAGUCUGAAGAGGAUCACAGCAGAGAUGAUGAAAAUGCCGCUUUGGUGAGAUGACAUAGUUACUUUUAUAUCUAUUUUACUUCGACGUAUCUUUAUUACCUAGACAAAGCACGUUACGGGCUGAUAACGAUCAACACAAUAGCCACAUAAUUUUGUUUCACAUUCCAGUUCUGGUGGUGUGAGGUAUGGAACGUCUCUGUGACUGAGGCUCAGCAAAGCAAUAGUAAUAUGAAAAUACUGAUAUCCGAGUUAAGAGCAGGAAAACCCAGUAGUGUCGUGGGAUUCAUUCAAUCAAGCUUUUUUCAGGAGCAUCCUAGAUAUCCCAAUAGCAGGCACACAGCACCCCUUCCCUCACAACUCUAAGCGUACCGGUAUGAUAUAAAUGUUGCCACCCAUGAUUUGUUAUAAGUACUAGUAAUAGUUACCAAAGUUGUUCUCGCUGUGUUUGGA
rnacentral:sRNA from 1 species